AGCUUUGCUCGGUGGCAGUAUCAUAGCCAAUGAAGUUUAUCUGAGGCACGAUUAUUGCUAAUUGAGAAUGACAAAGCAAUGGUUCUGAGAUUUUUCCCAUAAUUGAAUCCUUCAUAUCUGUGAAAGCUCAAUAUUGAU
ensembl:snRNA U4 U4 spliceosomal RNA